rnacentral:rRNA from 1 species
GACGAACGCUGACGGCGUGCUUAACACAUGCAAGUCGAAGGGAGUGGCGAACGGGUGAGUAACACGUGAGUAACCUGCUCUUUUCUGUGGGAUAAGCCUGGGAAACUGGGCCUAAUACGGGAUGGUUUGGGAUGGGAUCGCGGGUUAUCAGCUUGUUGGUGGGGUAAUGGCUUACCAAGGCUUUGUCGGGUAGCCGGGCUGAGAGGGUGGUCAGUCACACUGGGACUGAGACACGGCCCAGACUCCUACGGGAGGCAGCAGUGGGGAAUAUUGCACAAUGGGCGAAAGCCUGAUGGAGCAACGCCGCGUGAGUGAUGAAGGUCUUCGGAUCGUAAAGCACUGUUAUUCGGGAGCCGUUACCGAAAGAGAAAGCCACGGCUAACUACGUGCCAGCAGCCGCGGUAAUAC